rnacentral:tRNA from 1 species
GCUUCCAUAGCUCAGUCGGUAGAGCACUUCCAUGGUAAGGAAGGGGUCGCAGGUUCAAGUCCUGUUGGAAGCU